AACUACCUCCAUUUCUUCAUUUAUCAACUAAACAAAAUCUCUUUCCUUCUUACAUUUAAAGGACUUCUACCUUUAAAUUGUUUUCCUACAGAGUUAACUCCUUCUGUUCCUUUCAGCUAUGAGUAAUUUUAGUUCAAAUAUUCAUGUAUUAAUGUUUAAGAAAAUUUGUAAUUUAUGCUUAUUAUCUCUGAUGUUUGCAAAAUUAUAUUGAGAAGCUUUGUUGAUUAAUUGGCUGGGCAGUUGGCCCAAAUAGGGCUAUUUAGCUAAUUUAAAGAGGACUUGAAAUUCUGCAUGUAUUUGGGCUCAACAUGGAACUCCAUUUAAGAAUUUGGCCUCAACUCAUGAUUAGGCCUACUGUUGCAGAAGAGUGGAGACGUUUUGGGCCUCACUUUGGCCCAUGUGCACUUCAUAUUUUCGGAUUGUUUAAAACCUCAACGUAAAUUUAUAAUUGUACAGUUUAGGUCUAUCAUUUGGAAUAUUAGCCAACUAAUUUGAUUGGUUCAUUAGCUGAUUGUCAUAAAAAUAGAACCC
rnacentral:lncRNA from 1 species